CAAAAAAUGAAAACAUUUAAAAUACAUUGAACAUUUUAACAGACGAUUUGCGCCUAUCCCCUUAAGUUAGCUGUUGUUUUUAUUAUAAAAAAUCCCAAAUAUAUCCCAAAAAUCCUUAUGUAUAUUUUAGUUUUUGAUUUAGUAGAUUUUAGCUAAAAAAAUGGUAAUUACCAGUUGGUGGUUUGGAAUAAUUAGGUUUCCAAUUUUGUGGAAUUCCUCUUGGGACAUUGAGGACGGAUGUGCAUAUCACUGUAUUACUGUAUAUUUACAUGGCCUAAAAAGAAUCUACUGAUUUUGUGAAAACAAAACUACUGAAAGAGUAAAAACUGACCUGGCAACCCUGUCUACGAAAGCUGAUACAAAGAUUUUAUCAAAUCUCAAAUCUACAGAUAAAACAAUGGAAUGGAAACCAGCUAUUAAAAAAACAAAUAAACAGGUUGUUAAAUAAAUCGAAAAUUUCCAUCAAAAUAAAAUAUAUAAUAAUAAGAAAAAAAUAAGGUUAUAAAGUAAAUUCUUUUUCUCCUCUGGAAAUUGCCGCAAACGUAUCACACCUCUAGAACAACACAGGGUCGUGACGUGACAGACAACUCUAACUCUACUCAACUACAGAGUAAAUUAGUUUAGCAUUAUAACAUUUAUUUUUAAGUCGUUGCGAUUGUUGAAAAAACUGAACUGUGAUAUGUAGUUGUCACAAUGGUAAUAAAUUAGUUGCCCGUAUAACUUAAGGUUGUAACAUCGUAAUGUCAAUCGGGGUAGGGGACGUUAUUUAGACGGCCAAAAGUCAUUUUUAAAAAGUCGAAAUAACGGUAAGCUAUCAACCGUUCCGGUGAGCCAACAGUUGCAGCUACGAUAUAUCAUCCCCUCCACUCACGACCGAAGCGCAGGAGUUGGCCUGCGGUCAUUCGAAUUCGACAGUGAACGAGUGUGUAUAUAGGCGCAGUCUCUCUUAUCGAUUGUCGCAUGCGUUUGACGCAAGCAACAGUCGCAAGCAAUGGCACCUAUGUACGCCGUUGCUCCCGCCUGGCGGCGCUAGUGUAGUUGGAGGUCAAAAUUUUGACUAUUCGCGAAGUGUAUAUAUGGUGUUUUUGAUUACGAUUUAAUAAAUAAUAAAUUAUUGCCGAAAUAUACGGAUCUUGGAGAAUGUUUGUGCGUUGAAAAACAAAUUGAGAAGGGAUGCGAGAGUUACUGGAAAAAGGAAACACUUAUCGAAUGAUAAACUAUAUUAUUCAUCGUCUCAAUGUUUUAUUUCUAUAGCUCAGAGGGUAUUUAUCUGGUAUUGAUUAACUCCCCACACGAGUCUGACAACUGUGUAUAAUAUGAUAUGUGCGAUCUGCCUUACUUUUUUUUAUCAAUUUAAAAUUCACAAUUAAGUGCGCUCAGCAUUAAUUUUUGUGUUUAUCUUAUUUAAAAAUGUAAUAUUUUUAAAAUAUGGCUGCCAUGACAGUUGCGCAUUUGGUGUAAAUUUGGUUUAAGCAUGGGGUGAGCGCAGUUGAUUCUGCAAUGUUGUCUUAUUUAAAAAAAAUUAUAACUCCUUAUGGAAAUAUAGAAUGAGUUAAUUUAAUUAAGUAUAAUUAUUUAGGUGUUUGUCUACGUGAAAGGCGACCUUAAAUUUAAGGUGAAAUUAGAAAAAAUGAGGGUUAGGUUUGAUCAGGUUAUGUUUUAGUCACUAAAGAAUAUUUGAAUGGUACUAGGUCACUUUAAUUUUCAGUUAUUAACUUAUUUAUAUUAUUUUCGAUUAGGUUAGCUUUGCUCAGGUUAUGUUUUAGUCAUUUUAAAGAAUAUUUUAAAGAUAAUAUAUCACUAAAAUGUUCAGUUAUUAACUUUUUUAUAUUAUUUUCGAUGGCGCUAGGUUAGGUUUGGCCAGGUUAUGUUUUAGUCACUAAAAAAUAUUGAGAACUUGAGAAAUAUUUAAAAUUAGUAUUUCAAAAUUUUCUAUAUUAUUACUUCAUAUAUAAAUUUUUUUACAUGUUCACUCCAUAAAAAGUGAUUGUAGAUGUGGCAACAGUGUGAAUGUAUAUAAAAUUGCAUAUCUUAAUCCGUGCGUUUAUAAUAAAUUUUGAUCUGAAUUUUAUAGUGCUAUAUUCUAUUUUUUACAGUCGAAUCUGGGGGCAAUACUUAAAAUCUGUUUCAACAAAAUGUUUAUUGCAGAUACGUGCAUUUAUUCUCGGCACAUAUUUAUCCCUUCUUAUUGCUACAAUCCACUUUUUUCUCAUCAGAAUAUCUUUGGGAAACUCGUGUCCUGAUGUUCUCGAUGAGCACAAAUGCACAGCACAACAUUGAGGGAUUUUAUUUUCUUAAGUUUAAUUCACACAGCGAAACAAAUAUGCAAUAUUUACUUGGAAAUAGAUUGAUUUGAAGUAUUGAUGUAAGUUGACAUGACCUCCAACUACACGAGCGCCACCUACGUUGAGCUUUCCAGAUUAGCUGCCAUUGGUCGCGUUCACCAGAAUAAUCCGAGUGCAAUCCGAUUAAUUUGCGCUGAAACGCUGACAGUUUUUUUACUAGUGAACGACUGACGUUUGACAUUCGAUUGAGAGUGUUCUGUGUUCCAUUUGUUUAUGUUGUUAUUCUUUGUUUAUAUAAUUUAUAACCUAAACCUAGACAGUUUUGUUUUUAUUUUAAAUAAAACUGAAACUGUCUAAACUAAAAUGGAUAAUAUUCUUGAAGAACUUUUGUUUGGGGACGAAAUUAGCAAAUGCCGUUAUACAUUUAGCAGAUGUACCUACCUCAAAUUAUUCCAGAAGGAUGAGAUGAAAUUAAAUAUAUAUAAACCAUAAUUCAAUAUCCAAUUUAGAGAACAUUUUCAUAUGUCCAGAACUACUUUCCAGGAACUAUUUAAUUGUAUUGGUCAUAUCCACCAAUUUGAAAACAGAAUAAUUCUAUUGGAAAAAAUUAAUGUUUAUGAUGUGGAUGCUAAGUAAACCAGAGAAUUUGUUGCUGGGGAUACGUUUGGUUUGCCAAAGAGCUCUGGACAUAAGAUUUUCACCCAAAUAAUAUAGAAUUACAAAAAAUUGGAAAUAACUAAUCUUGAAUAUCAAUGUGUAUAUUGAGUUUAAUUUUAUUGUAAAUAUUCUAUAAUAUAAUUUUAUUGUAAAUAUUGUAUUAACACAUUUGUGGACACAUCUUCAUAUGCAGACAGUAAUUUCCCUUUGUAAGUACAUGCAUAUUAGUCGUAUCUGCGAAUGGGUUAAUUGUAAAUCGUAAUCAAUAAAAAUUUUUUGUGAAUCAAUAAAAAACUGGUUUGUUUGAAAAUAAAUGUAGUACAAAUGUG
rnacentral:lncRNA from 1 species